AUUGAACGCUGGCGGCAGGCCUAACACAUGCAAGUCGGACGGUAGCACAGAGGAGCUUGCUCCUCGGGUGACGAGUGGCGGACGGGUGAGUAAUGUCUGGGGAUCUGCCCGAUAGAGGGGGAUAACCACUGGAAACGGUGGCUAAUACCGCAUAACGUCGCAAGACCAAAGAGGGGGACCUUCGGGCCUCUCACUAUCGGAUGAACCCAGAUGGGAUUAGCUAGUAGGCGGGGUAAUGGCCCACCUAGGCGACAAUCCCUAGCUGGUCUGAGAGGAUGAACCGCCACACUGGAACUGAGACACGGUCCAGACUCCUACGGGAGGCAGCAGUGGGGAAUAUUGCACAAUGGGCGAAAGCCUGAUGCAGCCAUGCCGCGUGUAUGAAGAAGGCCUUCGGGUUGUAAAGUACUUUCAGCGGGGAGGAAGGCGAUGUGGUUAAUAACCUUGUCGAUUGACGUUACCUGCAGAAGAAGCACCGGCUAACUCCGUGCCAGCCGCCGCAGUAA
rnacentral:rRNA from 1 species